rnacentral:ncRNA from 2 species
AAAGUAAAUAAAGCGUUCGGUGCUGUUCUAUAUAGGAAGAUAUAGCAACAGGUAAAAGGGAAGCAGGUGCAAUUCCUGCACGAACUCGUCACUGUAAGCAAAUGUGACCGGCAGGCGUGAAGACGCAGCCACUGGGAGACCGGGAAGGCGUUCGGGCAUAAGAUUUGUAAGUCAGGAAACCUGCCGGUCGCUGGUGCGGGGA